CACUGGGAGACGCAGGAAUCUGAUGCGAGCCCACCUGGCAUGGUGCUCCUCUUUUGGGUGCUGCUCACCUCCUGCUGGAGCCCCGGCAGUGACACUGGGACAGCUGCUGUUGGUUUGGGGGUGACACCAAGCCCCCAGGGCCACCUGUCCUUGCAGCUCUGCCACGAGUGGCUUGGGGGGGUCUCAUCACACCGUGGGCUGUGAUAAAUGUUGUUGAAGCUCAAGGCUCUACCUGGAGGCUUUUGUAGGGUUUGGAGUCUGCUGAGUGACUAUGAGAAGUUCAGAGGCAGCCUUGCUGUUUGGGUGCAGGGCUGGGUGCUCGUGAAAGAAAGAGGCCAACGAGGCGGAGACAAGAGGCAGCACAGCACCAGGCACAGAAUGCACAGGGGAGAUGUCCCUGAGCAGGAGCCGGGAGCACCCCGAGGGGCUGCUGAGGGCUCGUGUCAGAAAGGGGAGCAGAAUGGGAGGAUUUGGGACAUCCGAGGACGAGACGAGUGCCGACAGACACAGCUCUGAGUGCACAGUGCCACGGGUCCUCCUCAGGGCUGCUUUUCUGAGAGGUUCGGGCAAAGCUCUCGAAGAACCACAGGUCCUGCUCAGGGCAACAGACAGCAGCAGUUCCUCGCAGGGUGAUAAACAGCAAGCAGCUCCUGCAUGAAAACUGACUCGAACGGCUUCUCUGCAGCUGUGGUGAGGCUGGAAAUGCCACCUUCUGCUUCCCUGUGAGCCAGCUGUCCUGCGGUGGGCAGGAGGGAGGAAUCCCCUGGUACGCAUGGGAACGCCUUCCAUUAAAUCAGGACAUGGAGGUGACUCUUCGUGACAGGUUUCCGGGUAGGUGAGGAGCUGGUGACAUUUCCUCUGCCUGUUAAUGAUGUGAAAUGCCUUCUUGUCAUAAAUUUUGCCCACGUGUUUAAUGGUCUCAUGAAGCUGCAGCUUGCGGUGAGCUUUCGGGUGAGGAGUGCUGGUGCCUCCCUGGUGUUGAGGGGCUGGACAUGAUUAAAUCACACAUGAAACACCUUCACCCUGGGUCACCUAGGGCCGAUUGGCUGUGAAAUAAUUUAAGUUGUAAAGCAGAGACAUGCCACAUCUCAUCUUUCCACUUCUGAUGGGCAUAUCUGGUGGGUAUUUGGGGUUUUCCACCUGCUCAGCAAAGGACAUGGAAACGAAUGGCCAUGUACACUGUUCCUGCUAUGUCCCUGCUCUUUCCCUCCACCCAUAAUUUGGUAAAGGAAAGGAAAAUGUUCAAACAUUUUUGCCAUUAUUGUGCACAAGCUCUCGCAUUGCUCAAGAAGCUUUGCCCAAAACCCGUGAGAUAAUUAACCUUAUUAGCGUUACAUCAGAGUGUGUCUGGAGAAACCGAGGCUUUCGUGGGCUACGCAGGUGGUGAAAGGACAUAUUUAAGUAGUGCCCUGUGUCAGGGCCUCCUGACCUGCCCGAGGCCUGAGAGAUCAGCUUUGGAAGAAAGGAUUAGAGUAAGGAGCUUUCAAUUUCCACUGCUUUGCUCAUAUAAUGGCCUGGACCACUGCAGGAAGCUGUUCUACCACUUUCAAAGGCCGUAUUAAAUGGGAUGAUUUUCAUCAACUCUCUUUCAUGCUGCUACAAUUCAAUGUACAAAACACACAGGAGAGGCUGGUGGCCUCCAUGGGACAUGGAGCAUCUUGUAGGGCAUGGGAGCUGGAGGGAAAGCCCUCGAGGCAUGGGGCAGAGCACACCAGGCCUUGGGGUGGCUGCUGGAGCUUGCUCUUAGCAUCCCACCCUGCUCUUCCCAGAGAGAUCAUUCAUUUUUAUAACAGGGUAAAUUGCUAACUUUUCACUUAAGUUGUAGCAGCAGCAAAAACCUUACUCUGGCUUGCCCAAAAGGGUGCAGAGGAAGGUUGUGUAGAUGCAUUAAGGAAGAGAAAAAUAGCUUAAUGUUUGCUUUGGCCGGUGAAGUUAGCAGUUAGUUGGGCUCUUCUCUGUCAGGCAAUUAAAAAGAUGGAUUCAGGCUUUUGAUGUAGGCUUUGUGACUUACACAGAGUGUACGCACAGGCUGUUUUAUUUCCAGAGGGAGUAGGAAUGAAGCAGAGGCUGGCUGUAGUGCUCCAGGUCCUGCUUUGGCUGCUGACAGUUCUCAGCAGGAGAGCUUCUUGGCUUGGUUUUCUCUCCGAGGUGUAUUCCCAGGUCUUCUCUUUCUCCUGCUCGACUUUCUGAUACCCUGGGGUUUCUCCUGUACUUCAGGCAUUUCUCACCCACCUGUGUGUGACCUGGGUUUUCCUGGGGGUCCCGUGCUCCUGUUACUGAGCCCCACAAUUUGAUUUUGACUGGAUCUGACUUUCAGCAGGGACUUGCUCUCGUGCAGCCAGGUCUCUGCCUAUGCAUCCCUGCAGCACAGCUCUCUCUCAUUCACCCCAAAGCAGCAGGGAUUGCUCACUUGUGUGGGAGCUGAAUUUGAGCUGCCCACCUGCCUACACUGACAAAAGUAUAGAUUUUCAGGCCUAUUGCUGAUUCUGUCCCUCCUCUCCCCCAGCACUUACACACUUGCUGGCACCCUGUGCCCCCAUCCUCUCUCCAAAGACACCUGCUCACUGCAGCCCAGCUCCUGGGGAGCAUCCAGCCCUCUCCUUCCUCUUCCCAAAGCCUCCCUGCCUGUGUGGUAGCACGGGUUGUAGCCCUGGCCCUAAUCUGAAGGCACAUAAUUGCACUGCGUUUUCCCAAUUUUUCAUCUUUGCCCAAUGAUUUUAUUUUUAACAUGGUCACUGUCUUUACUUCAUCACUAAAAAUGCAUUUUGCUGCUCUUUGUCUCUUAAUUUUGAGGGGCAGCAUUCUGUAGCAUAACUCAUUUUCAAUUUGUCCCAAAGCCACUGAAUUUUUGCGUGUAGGAAAAGGGAAGAUGAGGGAAUACACCAUGCACACAGCUCAGUCUUUCUAUUCCUACCAUCUCUCCUGGGCCGAUAUACCUCUGAGAAAUGGAGGAAAACACGAAAUAAUGAGAAAUGGAAUAAUCUGCUAACUGAGAACGAGACUUUCUAGCUUCUGUUGCUCGGCAGGCGGCUUGUGCCCUAAAGCUUGCAGCUUUAUUGAGGUGAGUGUGCAAAGAGUGGGAGAAAAUUGCGCUGCCUUUGCCAGAGCUGCAAUUUCCCCACCAGGCUGAGCGAGCACAGUGUGGCUGUGUCUGGCCAAGGAGACCCAACAGCACCGAAAGGCAUUAUGAUUACUGAAUCAGUAAGCACUUCUUUGCUGCUAGCCUGCUGUGAAACUCCUGAAAAGCAUUUAAUGGACUUCUGAGAUGGAUUUCCAUUGCUCUGUGACUGGUAUCUUUCUUUCCAAGGGUUUUGCUCUCUGCCUGCUCUCCUUUGUGUGUGCUGCCUUCCUCUAGGCAGGGCAACCUCAUUUCUCCCCACCCGAUCUUUGUGCCUCACUGCUGCUCUGCAAACCUUUUUCUUUACAGUGCCCUCUGUGUUUUUCAUUCUAUACCAAACUCAUCUCCUUUUUGAUAUUUGUACUUUCCUCAUCAUUAGACUAAAUCCUGAUGAAGAUAGGAAGAUCUGAUGUGCUGGUUCAGCUUCAUAACAGCUAAGGAGUCAUGGACAGUGUAAGUGGUCAAAAAUGAAAGGGGAAGAGAAGCAGUUGGCCUUAUUCUUGCACUAUCAUCAAAAAUGUAUAUUGCAUCUUCGUGUUUUCCUUGGGAGUUGUGCAGAGAAAUGUUGAUGCUAUGAAUGGAGCUACAGCGCUUUUGUGAAAGGCAGGAGGAAAACCAAACACUUACAGCAUCAAACAUUUUGGCUGGAAGGUUGGUGAUUCACAGCUCUUACAUUAUUUUUUUUUAAUCCUAAGGAAGUGUCAGUACAAGGCAUGCUUGAAGUAGAAACCAUCAUAAUGCAAACUAAUGCAAUUCCCCAUGUCUGCAGAGAUGGUCAAUAUGCUGCUCAUUGCAGUUGCCAUAGAGAUGCAAUAUUAUCUUCUUAGCUCAGUUAUGUGCACUGAAUUCUAAUACAUUUAGAGGAAUGGUGCAAGUUAGUCAAAGUCUUCACAGUUCCAAAAAAGCUUUUCUUGCUGAGCCUUCAAAUAGCAUUUGAAAAGAAGAGUUGGUCUGAUGAUUCCUCCAGUUUGAGUAAAAUGUGGGUAUGGAAAGACUUUGUGGAUCCCUUGCAACUGUGUUUUAGUGGUCUGACACAGAUUUUAGCUUGGCUUCUGAAGGAUGCUGUUGCACAAAGUUGCACUGGCUUUGCUAAAACGGGAUGUGAGGGGAAAGGAGGAAUGAGAGCAAUGGAGAAACAAACCUAUGGCAUCCCAGCCCCAAAUAUUUGCAGUUCCUUUCACAGGACCUGGAACUACACAUGGCCAAUAGCUUUCAAAAAGCCCAUAAAUAAUCAGCUAUUGAUAAGUCUCAGCUAUACACUGCCGGUUGUGCAGAUGCUCUCUGAAAUGGAGAUUUAUUUAGCGGAGGAAAGGAGGUAUGGAUAUUGCAGCCAAGUGGUAAAGGUGAACCCCAGUGUUAAAAAAAAUAAAAAUAAAAAUAAAAAUAAAAAAAAGCAAAUGCCCCCACAAUGGACAAAAGCUUGUGUUUCACUAAGCCACUUCCAUUUAGGUCGUUGUGCUGCUUUUAUACCCACAUGCACCUUUCUCAGCGCGUGCAAUGACAAAUAGCAGCUGACAGCAUGUUGGCACAGUCCUGGCUGGAGGGGUGGAAGAGGUGUUUCUCUUUUUGAAGGGGAAGAGCUUCAUGCUCGGUGGAGGGUUUUCUCCAGCAGGUUUUUGGUGCAAGGGGCUGUGCAGGACCAGUGAUGCUUGCUCGGGGUGGCAGGGCCCUCUGGGGCUGCAUCACUGUGGCUGGCCCCGCACAGCUGCCUCCUGUGAGAAAGUCUUGGGCAGGAGGUGAAGGCAAGGAGCCCUGCUGAUACACAUCACAGAGUGACAGUGGCUGAGGCUGGCAGGGCCCUCUGGAGCCAGCCGGUGCCACCCGUGCCCAAGCAGGGACACCCAGAGCAGGGUGCCCAGCACCAUGUCCAGGCGGCUGCUGAAGGGCUCCAAGGAGGAGACCCCACAGCCUCUGGGCAGCCUGUGCCAGGGCUCCGUCACCCGCACAGCACAGAAGGGCUCCUGGUGCUCAGGGGGAGCCUCCUGGGGGCCAGGUUGUGCCCAGGGCCUCCUGUCACAUGCCACGUGAAAGUCAGGGUGUUUGCUCAGCACAGCAGCUCAGCUCCAGCCCACAGGUGCCCCAGACCCCAGGGAAAGUAGAAACGUGUACCAAGGGCUUGGUGGAGCUUUCUCUGCUUUCACUGCUUGGUGCGAGGCAGGUGUGGUCGCGAGCGUUUCCUCCUGCCAGGGAGCCGUGGUGCAGGGUGCUGAGCGCUCUCGCUUCCUGCGAAACCCAGCUUGGGGUGCUCAGAGUACGGCAGGGUGGGGUUUUUGAUCUGAAUAACUGAUUUAAAAGCUAUUUGAUAACUGUUAGCAUAAAUGGGGAGUGACAGACCGCUGGACCGUACUGUGCAAAGCCCGUUGCAAGAGCCAGGCUGUUCCCUGCAGGCUGAGGAGAGCCUGGCCAGAAAGAAGAGGAAAUAAGCAGAUUUUAUUCACGAUCACACAAACAUUUUGGGAGUUAUAUCUCCCUCUUCCAUGCCCCAACCUUCUGCUCUCUUUCCUGAGUCAAACUUUCCUUCUAAUAGGCUGGCAGGCAUGGUCCGUGCCCUUAUCUGAGCUCCAGAACAUGGAUAUGAUGCACAGAAAAUCUCUAGCCUGGUCCAUGGUGAAAAGUCAGUGGAAAAGCUGGGUUUGGUUUUGAUAUCCGGGUGCUCUUGGCCAUAAGACCAUUAUUUCCCUGUAUUAGGACUGCUGUCAUUUGUUUAAACGUUUAUAUAUAUAAUAUAAUAUUAAGCAUUAAUAAUUCUCUUGGGUUUUACUGCCAGGAUCACAAAUGGUUAAAAGAUUGGGCUUAGUCUAGACGGUGAGUGCAGAUACGAUGCUGAGCUUCCUGUUUCUUUAAAAAGCUUCAAUUGGUAUCAGCUCAUUUGACUUCCUUUGCAGAUAAUAUCAGCCCGCUACUUUUUACGUAGGGAGUGAACCACUGGCAGUGCCUGGACGCUGGUGUUGCUCCGUAAUGGGCUGCAGAAUUUACAUUUCCUCUCAUGAAACCAUCUGCCAGGAGGAUCCUUGACCUUUUUUUUGUUUUGGGGCAGUAAUCUAAUUCCAGAGGAUGGGGCUUAACAGAUCUGAAACCCCCAGGUGAUGGCUGGCGUGUCUGUGCUGCAGGGAGUUAAACUCAAUCGUAGUCCGAAGGGUUAUUAAAACUGAAAGCGUUUUAGCUAUGCAAACUCAGGCUUGCAAGACCCACAUGACCCAGAAACGUAUUUUUCUUCCUUGAAAUGUGCAUUUAUAGAAGAAGGGUGCUUCCCUGCCCUGGAGCCUGCGGGACAUCCAACAUCUCGUGGGCUUCUGAGGAGCCUCGCUGCGGAGCAGGACGGUCGGUCCCCAGGGAAGGGCUUGGGGCUAGGGGGGAGCCCAGCGCCCUGCCGUGGGUGUUGGGAGCCCUGGCCAGGUUGGGAUUUUCGGGUUUCCCUCCUGCCUGAGCAUAGCAGGGUGGCUACAGCCUGCGAUCUUGCCGCAGGGAUGGCUGGCAGAGGCUGAGUCCGAGUGCUGGAGCUGACUUAGCAGCGGCUGUCAGUAAAAUCAGCCAGGCCUUGCGUCUGACUUAAAUCUACGUGACUGCUGCAGAACUGGCACCCGCUUGGAUCAAACGGGGACUUGCACUGCUGUCACCAGCAGGACGGCCCCCGAUCGGCUGGAAGCACUUGGCACAUCAGGUGCUUUGGGGCAGAUUCUGCACUGUCUUCAUCCUGGCACUGCUUAAUCCUGGCGCCUCGGUGAUGCAGCGUGAUCCGAUCCCCUGCAAACCUCUCCCUUCACCCCAGGAUGUCCGUGCUGACCCAGCAGAGCCCCCGCUGGGGAGGUGGGCGCCUCUCCCACCUGGGGGUUGUUGCUCUUCCUUGGGCUGUUGGCUGCUAAACCUCCUGGGGAAAGAGAUGGAGUUAAAUGCUGUGGGUUCAAUGGGUUAGAGCAGUGACCCAGGGAACCCAAAGCCUGGGGUUUAUGUUCAGAAGCUUUAAUAAGAUGCAAAACACCUUGCCAGAAACUAAGCAGGAUAAAAUCUUCAAAUUUUAUCCUUUCUUGUAGAUCCAGCUUCAUGUACACCACAAAACAAGAGUGAUCUACCUCAAUCCUAGUGCAAAACUGACAGCACUAUGCCAAUGAUCUCUGCAGCUGUACAGAAACACACCUCGAUGCUCGCCUGACCCCCGACUUCACAUCCAAAAGCAGAGAGCACCACAGCUGGUACUGCUGUGUGAUGCUGAAGCUGCCUAGCACUUGCCAUUAAAGCCACUCAACUUCUGUUUCUUUUGACUUUGCCAGUUUUGAACAGCUUAGCCCCAAAUUUGGCAUACCAGCUGUCUGCCUCGGGCUGAGUGUGCUGCUGACUCCUUCCCCUGUAUGGGAAGAUGCAGAAUAACUCGCUGGCACAGAUGAAAUUCCAGACCAGUUCUGAAAGGAAGAAGCUCCUAAAUGCCUUGACUUCAAUUUAAUAGCAGCGCUGAUCGCCAGAACUGAAAUCCCUUUCAAAUGCAAUUUAGCUUCUGUGUAGCGGUAGUGCCAUUCCUGGGCUGGCUGAGUAUCACGCAGCUCUGACUCUGGAAUUGAAGUCAUCGUAGCAAUCUUUUCUUUUAAUCACUUUCUCAGUUGUUUCACUUUUGUGUCUCAGGGCACUGUUCUCAGCCCAGCAGUGCUAUUAGCGGUGUCCACGUGGGGCUGGAGAAGGUUUCGAUCACCACCACAUUUUCAGAAUGACGAAAAGGGUUUGAGAGGUGCAAAGCAGAGAUCAGCAAUAAACCUGGUGGCUGCCCCUGCUUCCCCAGGGCUUUUUUUCUGUCCUGCUCUUCCUCACAAUGAGCAGAAAUCACCCCUAGCUCUGGGAAGGGCCACAGCUGAGCUGUGGUUGCACCCCAGGAUCAGGCACAGGCAGAUAGAGCAUUGGCUGUGUGGUUAGUUGAGGUCUGAAGGUCUUAAAAAAGGUGUGGGAGACAAGUCCUGGUGGGAUUUUUGCAUCCCAACACUUACGUUUGUAGAGUGAACAACCUGGGGGUGACCAAGGAACAAGGUGGGGAGAGGGACCAUUUGCUUAUUCACAGCAUAAAGAGCGUGUAACCCACAGUGUGAUGUCCAAGAGCAGACCAAGGGGCAGAUGAUCUUUUAUUUUGCGUUGCUCUUUCAGCUGCUUGCUGUGCUUACCUUCCAUUUCCAUCGUACAGGCUGAUCACUCCUCUGUGAGGAGAAAUCGAAAGAGAUUUGGAGAACUGGUUGCUGGCUGGGUGAAGUUAUUGUGCCUGUCAUCUCAGAGCAAAAGAUUCAGCUUUAAAAACUAAACCUGAAAUACUUGGGGACAGAUGCUACUCUCAAAAAUACACUUACUUUUAUUUAUUAUUUUUUUAAAUAAGAUUAAAUAGGAAAUAAUUGUGGGCAGAAUUUAGAUAAUCAGCAGACUGUCUGAUUUGUGGGUGACAGUGAGAAUUUGCAGCUGGAGGAAUGAAAUCCUGCAGACCAAAAAUGACACAUAAAAAAAAUCCACACUGAAGGAAGGAUGUAUGUAAGGAGGCCAGGCAAAGGCUGGGACGAAAAUCAGAUUUCCUGACAGAUGAUAUCUUUAGGUCUGUCUUUUUAAGGAGAGAAGAGACUAAUGAGUGCAAUAGCAACUGGUAACCAGCUUCUGGCCAUUUUAAGCUAUCAUUGAGCUCUGAAACACUGAAAUGAGAUUUAUUACAUCUGCCAGAGUGGUGUACCUCUCUGGAGGCUCUACGUGUCUGUGACCUUAGAAUACUUCUUUAGUUACACGGUGAUCAAAUUGUUAAUAAAAACGAAAUGCUACCCACUCAAAAGCAAACACUUUAAACUAGUUUAGCUGUUCUUGAGAUAUUUAUUUGAAAACAUGCAACAUCAGUUAGACAUUGUUUUGUUUUGGGCAAUUUAUCCUGCACAGCAGCCUUGAUCCAGCAGGAAGAAGGGUGUCAGAAGCUGAUUUUGCAAGAGCUGUGUCUUGGAAGAAACAAAUGAGAUGAAGCAGUAGUCUUCCUUUUUAAGCAGAAAUUGUAAAUAGAGUAGAGGUUAGUGUGAUCAAGUACUGGAUGCUGCUCUAAAAAUAAGAUAUUUGGGCUAAAGAUGUGUCUCACAAGAGCUUUGGAAUACAUUAAGAGAGUGAUGUUGUUGGUUGCAGACUUGCCAAAUAUUUUUCAGUCGAAUGUUGAAAUCCUCAAGGGCCCUGUUAAACUCUCAUGCUUUCAAACCAUUCAGUGUGUGGCAGAGUUGAAGGUGCGGAGUGUGGGGACGGAGGCGGCAUCUUGGAUCUGAUGAGAUUCAGCUCCCUGGCUUCCUUUCACCUAAAAAUAGCCUGGCUGUGACCCCCCAGCACGUCCACACUGCUGCCCUGCAGCAGCUCUCUCUGGGGAAGACGCUUGGUAGGAGAGUGGGAGGGGGACAUCUGAGUAGAGUGGAGUGGAGUAGGGUGGAGUAGAGUAGGGUAGA